UACGAAGGGGGCUAGCGUUGCUCGGAAUUACUGGGCGUAAAGGGCGCGUAGGCGGCGCAUUUAGUCAGGCGUGAAAUCCCUCAGCUUAACUGGGGAACUGCGUCUGAUACUGGAUGGCUUGAGUUUGGGAGAGGGAUGCGGAAUUCCAGGUGUAGCGGUGAAAUGCGUAGAUAUCUGGAGGAACACCGGUGGCGAAGGCGGCAUCCUGGACCAACACUGACACUGAGGAGCGAAAGCCAGGGGAGCAAACGGG
rnacentral:rRNA from 1 species